GACGAACGCUGGCGGCGUGCUUAACACAUGCAAGUCGAACGGAAAGGCCCUGCUUUUGUGGGGUGCUCGAUUGGCGAACGGGUGAGUAACACGUGAGUAACCUGCCCUUGACUUUGGGAUAACUUCAGGAAACUGGGGCUAAUAUCGGAUAGGAGCUCCUGCUGCAUGGUGGGGGUUGGAAAGUUUCGGCGGUUGGGGAUGGACUGGCGGCUUAUCGGCUUGUUGGUGGGGUAGUGGCUUACCAAGGCUUUGACGGGUAGCCGGCCUGAGAGGGUGACCGGCCACAAGAGGACUAAGAUACGGCCCAGAAUCGUACGGGAGGCAGCAGUGGGGAAUAUUGCAGAAUGAGCGGAAGCCAGAUGCAGCAACGCCGCGUGCGGGAUGACGGCCUUCGAGUUGUAAACCGCUUUCGAAUGUGACGAAGCGUGAGUGACGGUAAUGGGUAAAGAAGCACCGGCUAACUACGUG
rnacentral:rRNA from 1 species